rnacentral:siRNA from 1 species
CACGUCUGCCUGGGUGUCAC